GGCGGACAUUCGAUAGUUCGUGCUGACCUCUAUUCCAACGUAGGAAGUGUUAUGAACAGCUGAUCAAGACAAGCUGGUGGCAUAAAAUGUAGCGUCCAGGGAAGCCAGGCAGGGGUCCAAGGUGGAAGUAAGUACAACGAUCCACUGAGGACCAACACUCCACCAAGGCCUUAAGUACUGCCUGAAGCAAUUAGCAGAGAUCAGCAGCAGGUGAGUUUUGCAUGGGCGUGGAGUACAGGAUGGCCCAAACACCCAGACAGCGCCCUGGAGGAAAAGUUGCCUAGAUGCUGAAUGUGCACAGCCUCGCGUUCUCUCCCAGCAGCUGCGUGUUUCCUAAGGCUAUCGAUGUUCCUAUACAGCUCAUAGCAGAACAGCAUGCAAAUCUUCCACAUGAUCAACUCUCAAAUAGGAAUGAGCGUGGGUGCAGCCCUAUGUGAGGUGAUGUGAGCCAGUCAGAUGAAGACAUCAAAUGCCAUUGCUGGAACCGUGACACCCACUGAAGAGCUGGAGAGCAGGGCAAAUGUUGAUUUCCCUUCCUGACGGGCUGAGCAAACAUGCAAUAACAAUGUGGAGUAGAUUCCACAUUGUUUUUGCGCUGGAAGGAGAACCAGCGUGUCGGUCUUUCAACACAGCAGCUUCAGCAACAAAAGGUACUGUCUGUACCUGGUUUUCUCAGCAGAGGAAAGCUGCCCACACAUUUAUUUUCAGAUCUAGAAAACACCGGGUGCACUGGCAGUGUGUGUUUAACAUCCCCUCUCUGUCAUCGCCCACAAGAGAUAAAAACUGUUAAACAUUCAGGUGCUCAUUUUAGUCUUUCAAGCUAGCUAAAAAGAACAGCUUUGUAACAGCACAUUGCCUAUUUGCUAAAUAUACUGCUGUGACAUUUGUUUUCAUGGCUUUUCUCAUUACGUGUGGUAAUACAUGAACAGAAUGCAAAUCCAUUUUGUCUACAGUAUAUUUAUUUAUAUAUCAUUUCUAAUAUAUUAUGUAACUUUAAUUUAUAGUUACAGCACUGGAGUUCACUGUGUAUACAAUAUGUUAUUUAAAACAAGUUUCAGUGCAUGCAGGUGUAAUGUACUUACUGUACUCUUACUGUAAAUCUAUGUGCAUGAAGCAAUCACUUUGACGCUGGUGAAAAUUAUACAUCAACCCAUGCCUUCAUCGGUUGUUGGGGAGGAUAACACAAAAUAUGUAAUUUUCUCUAACAAAAUGUUGAAAACAGUUAAAAUAAGAAUUUCAUAGGACAAAUUAAAGUCAGUGAUUUAAAAAAUGUCUUGUUGAUUAGAGGAGAAUACCCAGACUGCUUUGAGCUGAUAGAAAGGCAAUUGUAACUGAAAUAACCACUCAUUAUAUCUAAGGUAUGGAGAAGAGCGUCUCUCAAUACACAGCAUUUUGAACCUUGAAACCAACAGAAGACCUCAACAGAUGCCACUCCAGUCACCUAAGAACAGAAAACUGAG